GAAAUGCGAUAAGUAGUGUGAAUUGCAGAAUUCAGUGAAUCAUCGAAUCUUUGAACGCACAUUGCGCCCUAUGGUAUUCCGUAGGGCAUGCCUGUUCAAGCGUCAUUUACACCUUCAAGCCUUGCUUGGUGUUGGGUGACUGUGGCCCCUUUGGGGCCACUCGCCUUAAAGUCAUUGGCGGCCGGUUCGUUGGCUUUGUAGCGCAGCACAAUUGCGUCCUCGAAGCCGCUGGACCAGCUCCCAGAAGCUAAUUUUAAAUGUUUGACCUCGAAUCAGGUAGGGAUACCCGCUGAACUUAAGC
rnacentral:misc_RNA from 1 species